rnacentral:rRNA from 1 species
UACGAAGGGUGCAAGCGUUAAUCGGAAUUACUGGGCGUAAAGCGUGCGCAGGCGGCUAUGCAAGACAGAUGUGAAAUCCCCGGGCUCAACCUGGGAACUGCAUUUGUGACUGCAUAGCGUAGAGUACGGUAGAGGGGGAUGGAAAUUCCGCGUGUAGCAGUGAAAUGCGUAGAUAUGCGGAGGAACACCGAUGGCGAAGGCAAUCCCCUGGACCUGUACUGACGCUCAUGCACGAAAGCGUGGG